CAACUUCAUCAGCAUCAGCAACCUCAAAAACCCAAAUUCGCACCAGCUUCAACGCCCAAACCCGAUACCAGUAAUGCACUUCAACCCGUCUGUUUCUUCUUCAUCACGCACCUCAUGCGGAUUCAUACAAAGAGGACUCGAGAAUAUUCUAUAACGUGCCAAGGUGGCUCAUCCAACGUCCAACUCCGUGAAUCUUGGGAUAGAGAUCAUUGUACAAGUUCUCACCAUUGACAUAUGCAUAGUGCGGAGUUGCCAUAGAUUGAGAUGUGGGGUGAGCUCCUGACAUCCAGAGUUGUUCCUGCUCUUCCUCUUUUGCUGGACAGGGGCCUUGGAGUAACUGGUAAAGUUGUUGUCAUGUG